GAUGAACGCUGGCGGCGUGCUUAACACAUGCAAGUCGAACGGAAAGGCUCCUGCUUGCAGGGGUACUCGAGGGGCGAACGGGGGAGUAACACGUGGGCGAUCUGCCCUGCACUUUGGGAUAAGCCAGGGAAAGUGGGUCUAAUACCGGAUAGGACCACAUCUUGGAGGGAGUGGUGGAAAGUUUUUCGGUGUGGGAUGGGCUCGCGGCCUAUCGGCGUGUUGGUGGGGUACUGGCAUACCACGGCGUCGACCGGUAGCCGGCCUGGGAGGGUGUACGCGCACAUUGGUCCUACGGGACGCACCAGAGUCCUACGUGAGGCAGUAGUGGCGAACAUUGCCCAAUGGGCGCACGCCUGAGGCAGAGGCGCUGGGUGGGUAAUGACGGCCUUCGGGUUGUGAACUCCUUUAGCUUAAGACGAAGCGCUAGUGACGGUACCUAGAGAAGAAGCACCGGCUAACUACGUG
rnacentral:rRNA from 1 species